GACGAACGCUGGCGGCGUGCUUAACACAUGCAAGUCGAACGGAAAGGCCCUGCCUGCAGGGUACUCGAGUGGCGAACGGGUGAGUAACACGUGGGUGAUCUGCCCUGCACUUCGGGAUAAGCCUGGGAAACUGGGUCUAAUACCGGAUAGGAGCCAUUUUUAGUGUGAUGGUUGGAAAGUUUUUUCGGUGUAGGAUGAGCUCGCGGCCUAUCAGCUUGUUGGUGGGGUAAUGGCCUACCAAGGCGGCGACGGGUAGCCGGCCUGAGAGGGUGGACGGCCACAUUGGGACUGAGAGACGGCCCAGACUCCUACGGGAGGCAGCAGUGGGGAAUAUUGCACAAUGGGCGCAAGCCUGAUGCAGCGACGCCGCGUGGGGGAUGACGGCCUUCGGGUUGGAAACUCCUUUCGCUAGGGACGAAGCUUUUUGUGACGGUACCUAGAGAAGAAGCACCGGCUAACUACGUG
rnacentral:rRNA from 1 species